CAGUCCGCGCAUCACAUAACAGGGAGGCUCCGGGUCGAUAGUGGAACACGGAGCCGGAGUAAAGCCCGUGGACGUUGCAGCAAACAAGCCCCACUUAGAUGAAGAAGCAUCUGUGUCUGUUUUUGUUUGAAAAUAGCAAUAAAGUGGGAAUGUCGGCAGUGCUGGCUGGGUUGAUGGCACUCGGGUCAGCCUGGUCGGGACUGACAUUUUGGAAGGUGUGACGUUCCACCCCACCUCCCACCAGGAAAGAGACCCUUUUGACUCUGCUGGGAGGAAUAGCACUCUGCCCUGAUCAGCUGCCAGUAGUCCGCUCUUACCACCACCUGGCUGACAAAGGGUUGCCCAGGACGAGCCACUCAGAAUGCUGUGGGGAUGACUCACCGUUGCCACGGCCACGCCCAGGAGCCGACCCUGCCCCACCCCUCCGCUGAG